AAAUUAAUAAAGAAAUACGGGGACAUAACGCCUACCAACCAAUUGUAACAAAUAGGAUAAAUAUAAAGAAAACUAGAAGGAUUAAUGCUAUCCUUUAAAGACUCAAUUUACAGCUCCAAAAUAAAUAUAAAGAAUCAUGUAAAGACAUGCAAACAGCCUUUCCAGCACAACUAGUUGCCUCUGCUUCCUAGAAAGAUAAAAAAAAUUGCUGCAAUUUCCUGCUUAAAGAAUAUCAAAACAAAACUGUUAAGUUGAAGUUCCCAACUAAGCUUCUAUUAUCAGGCUUUUGCCCAAUAAUUCCUAUGGGACAUUUCGACCAAAACUGUACUCUUCUUGAGGUUUUAAAUUUGAAUUUUCACGAGUUCCUUGUCUGCAUCACGCCAUCACUUGAACAUACUUGUUAUGUGAACAGUCACUGCAUAUUACUUUGUUGGCAAAGUGUUGCAUUUAGGUACUAAUACCAUAUAUUUGUUUUUCUCUUGAUUUUAUUUGGUGGGGGCUAGAUGUUUAGACUUUUGGGGGAUCAUGAUUCUUUGUAGCUCAAACUAAAUUUGUGUGGACUAAUUCUCCUGCAUGACAAGAUGCUUUUUAUAUCAAUAAAUUACGGAA
rnacentral:misc_RNA from 1 species